UGGGGAAUAUUGGGCAAUGGGCGCAAGCCUGACCCAGCAACGCCGCGUGAAGGAAGAAGGCCCUCGGGUUGUAAACUUCUUUUGACAGGGACGAACAAGGUGACGGUACCUGUCGAAUAAGCUCCGGCUAACUACGUGCCAGCAGCCGCGGUAAUACGUAGGGAGCAAGCGUUAUCCGGAUUUACUGGGUGUAAAGGGCGUGUAGGCGGGCUGGCAAGUCAGAUGUGAAAACCAUGGGCUCAACCCAUGGCCUGCAUUUGAAACUGUUGGUCUUGAGUGCUGGAGAGGCAAUCGGAAUUCCGUGUGUAGCGGUGAAAUGCGUAGAUAUACGGAGGAACACCAGUGGCGAAGGCGGAUUGCUGGACAGUAACUGACGCUGAGGCGCGAAAGCGUGGGGAGCAAACA
rnacentral:rRNA from 1 species